UUCCUAGUACGGCGAGUGAGAGGAAGAGCUCAAAGUUGGAACCUGUUUGGCCUAGCUAAACCNNNNNNNNNNNNNNAGAAGUGUUUUCCAGGCAAGCCGAGUAAAUAAGUCCUUUGGAACAGGGCAUCAUAGAGGGUGAGAAUCCCGUCUUUGGCUUGAGCAUUUGCCUUUUGUGAUACGCUUUCAAAGAGUCAGGUUGUUUGGGAAUGCAGCCUAAAUUGGGUGGUAAAUCUCACCUAAAGCUAAAUAUUGGCGAGAAACCGAUAGCGAACAAGUACCGUGAGGGAAAGAUGAAAAGAACUUUGAAAAGAGAGUUAAACAGUAUGUGAAAUUGUUAAAAGGGAACCGUUUGGAGCCAGACUGGCUUGUCUGUAAUCAAUCUAGGCUUCGGCCUGGAUGCACUUGCAGGCUAUGCCUGCCAACGACAAUUUGACUUGAGGGAAAAAACUAAGGGAAAUGUGGCCCACUUGUGGGUGUUAUAGUCCCUUAGAAAAUACCUUGGGUUGGAUUGAGGAACGCAGCGAAUGCUUUUUGGCGAGUUUUCCAGGAAGGUUUUCUGAGGUACUACGGUAUCAAGGUUGAUCUUUUUGGUUAUACUUCUAUUCGCUUAGGUUGUUGGCUU
rnacentral:rRNA from 1 species